CACUCCUACGGGAGGCAGCAGUGGGGAAUAUUGCACAAUGGGCGCAAGCCUGAUGCAGCCAUGCCGCGUGUAUGAAGAAGGCCUUCGGGUUGUAAAGUACUUUCAGCGGGGAGGAAGGCGAUAAGGUUAAUAACCUUGUCGAUUGACGUUACCCGCAGAAGAAGCACCGGCUAACUCCGUGCCAGCAGCCGCGGUAAUACGGAGGGUGCAAGCGUUAAUCGGAAUUACUGGGCGUAAAGCGCACGCAGGCGGUCUGUCAAGUCGGAUGUGAAAUCCCCGGGCUCAACCUGGGAACUGCAUUCGAAACUGGCAGGCUAGAGUCUUGUAGAGGGGGGUAGAAUUCCAGGUGUAGCGGUGAAAUGCGUAGAGAUCUGGAGGAAUACCGGUGGCGAAGGCGGCCCCCUGGACAAAGACUGACGCUCAGGUGCGAAAGCGUGGGGAGCAAACAGGAUUAGAUACCCCGGUAGUCCCA
rnacentral:rRNA from 1 species